rnacentral:rRNA from 1 species
GCCCCAGACUCCUACGGGAGGCAGCAGUGGGGAAUAUUGCACAAUGGGGGAAACCCUGAUGCAGCGACGCCGCGUGAAGGAAGAAGUCUUUCGGUAUGUAAACUUCUAUCAGCAGGGAAGAAAAUGACGGUACCUGACUAAGAAGCCCCGGCUAACUACGUGCCAGCAGCCGCGGUAAUACGUAGGGGGCAAGCGUUAUCCGGAUUUACUGGGUGUAAAGGGAGCGUAGACGGCGACGCAAGUCUGGAGUGAAAGCCCGGGGCCCAACCCCGGGACUGCUCUGGAAACUGCGUCGCUGGAGUACGGGAGGGGCAGGCGGAAUUCCUGGUGUAGCGGUGAAAUGCGUAGAUAUCAGGAGGAACACCGGCGGCGAAGGCGGCCUGCUGGACCGUGACUGACGUUGAGGCUCGAGAGCGUGGGGAGCAAACAGGAUUAGAUACCCCCGUAA